rfam:Heligmosomoides polygyrus genome assembly, scaffold: HPBE_scaffold0001498
GCGCCGGUGGUGUAAAGGCGUAGAGCAUUCCCGCCCGGUUAGACGGAGGUGCGGGUUCGAGUCCCGCCUGGCGCU